AGUGAACGCUGGCGGUAGGCCUAACACAUGCAAGUCGAACGGCAGCACAGUAAGGUUUGCCCUUUCGGGUUGCCAGUGGCGGGGUGGUGAAGAAUACAAUGGAAUCCACUUUUUCCUGGGGGAUCACGUAGGGAAACUUACGCUUAUACCGCAUUAUAUCUACCGGUGUAAGUCAGGGGUCUUAGAAGCUUUCGCGGUUGCAUGUACCGAUGUCGGAUUAGCUAGUUGGAGGGGUAAAGGCCCACCAAGGCGACGGCACGUAGCUGGUCUGAGAGGAUGAUCAGCCACACUGGAACUGAGACACGGUCCAGACUCCUACGGGAGGCAGCAGUGGGGAAUAUUGGACAAUGGGCGAAAGCCUGAUCCAGCAAUACCGCGUGGGUGAAGAAGGCCUUCGGGUUGUAAAGCCCUUUUGUUAGGAAAGAAAAGCAGCAGGUGAAUACACCGCUGUUCUGACGGUACCCAAAGAAUAAGCCCCGGCUAACUUCGUG
rnacentral:rRNA from 1 species